rnacentral:lncRNA from 10 species
UGGGAUUACAGGCGUGAGCCCCCUCACUCGGCCAAAACACUGUUAAUUUUUAAAGAAGUUGAACCUUGUGGCAUUGUUUGUGGUUUGCUAAUUUGUAAUAUGAGUUCCCUGCCCUUUUGUUUAUUGUAUUUUUGCCUUCAGGUCCACGCUUUCUUGGGGUUCUUUUUAGAAACCCAGCACUCGAAAGUGAGCUUCUGCAUUUCUAUGUUUUCAUUAGCAUUGCUGAAAACAUAUUUAAGCCUGUUUAAGAGGCCUCUGGUUUGUUGAACACAAAUGCAGAGGAAGUGUUGUUUUUUUUCCCUAAAACAGUCAAAAAGUUAAAAACUGUCUUUGGUACAGUUUUCACAAGGGUAGUUUGAUUAGAUAUGGGUAGAUAAGACACAAGCUACUUAUCACCUUUCCGUAGGUCUUUUUGUUUCUUACCGGUAUAUCAUCCCACUGCUGACUCUUCACAAGUUCGUAAGAAGGUUCUGUUAAAUCAAAUUUGGGAACAGGGAAUCCAGGAAUAGCAUUGUGCAGAUGGAAACCAAAUGUCACCAGCCAGCUGUUAACAUCUAGGAGAAGAAUGUUCAGAAUGAAAGGUGUUGGAGUUUGUUUUGUCCUUUCAUAAAUUUAAAUUCUUACCUUAAAAAGAAAAUCCAAUUUCACAAUUAAUAAUCUGAAAAAGAGCACCUGUUUGCUUUCGUCCUACAAAUCUAAACCUACUGUUUUUAGACAUGAAGACGGUAACCUUCACAGCAGAACUAUGGCAAAUGCUACGAAAAAUGCGAGUAAUAGAUGCUCAGACAGACUGGGUAAGCCAUCAGUCCUGCUAAGUUGCAGCCUGUGCUAGUAACAGUGCUAGCAAAGAAAAUGCUGCUAUGGCAUUCCCUGCAGUCCACGUUGCUAGGAGAGGAUGAAUUCAGGAGCUGUGGGCUUUCCAGACUUUCAGUCAGCCCCUGUCAACACCCCUUAAAUAACCAGUGGUAAACUGCCUGUCAGAAUGAUGGAGAGCCACUUGAUUCCCAUUUCCUUCUCUAGGGCACAGACUCUCACCUCAUUGCCAGGCUGGCAGGUCAUUCGUCCAGGCAUCAUAUGGCUAUAAAACCAGUGGUAUUCUUUUUAUUUGAAAUGGGGUGGUAGUAGUGGUGGUGGGGAGACAUAAAUCCUAAGUGGUUCACACAGGAUGCAAAGUGACACAAUUUGUGUGUAUGUAAGAGUGUAUAUGAGUUUGGGGGUGGGAGGGCCUUAUUUUGGGAGAAAAUUCUCCCAAAUGUUGGAGUAUUGGGGGCAAAAAUUCUGUUACUCUGAACAAUGUCUGCAUAACAGUGAAAAUCAGAGGACCGUAAGUAUUGAAAAGUACUGCCAAAAUAAUGGGGUUUGAAGGCAGAUGUGUAUUGAAAAACCCUGAAUGAGAAUAAGGGUGCUGCUGAAUCAGGAGGCAGAAAGGAGGGACUUUCAGCUGGUUCACAUGGAAGAGAUAUGAAAUGCUUUAGACAGUCUGGAAAGGUAGGAAGCAGAUGUGAAAUGAACAGGGGGCAACCUGUUGAGAGCUGUUUUGAGAACUGAGAGAACAGACAUCUCAGUAUGCCUCAAAUAUUGAGCUAGAAAAGAGGCAGCCUAAAGGAGCAUCUAACACAAGCCAAAACAAAACCAAAAUACCUUAAAUCAAGCCCAAAAAAAAAAGACAACAGGAAAGAACCUUCCUCCUGGAAAUAUAAAUGUGGUAGAGGGGUUAAUGAUGGUGCUGUAUAUCAGGAAUGGAAGGUAGGAGCAGCAGGAUUCAGAAUUCUUGGAGUAGAGGUUGAGUGAAGAAGUCAGCUCACUAAAGGGAACUAGAGUAAUGCUUGCAAGGACCUUGUCUGUUUCACAUGCUGGUUGUUCCAUGGUGGCAGAAGUGGGAUCUGAUGUUCUACAUCUUGCAUAACUAAAAAGGUAGCAUGCACUAAACUUGGAAAGAUCUUAAAUCUGUACCCUGAAAAUUAUCCCACAUUCGUGGAAAAAUUAGUAUGCCUAUUAGUAUUGUCACCAUGCAAGAACUGCACUGGCAAUGAAGACAGUGAUGUAAGAAGACAGAAGUGAGUCCAGACACAGGAUCCAUUGUCUAAGCAACUGAUGGGAGAAAUGGCUUCGUGACUGUCCUGAGGCAAUGGUGGUGAGGCAGGAAUUAAACACCUCCCAGGGAUGAAAUGGUGUCACCUUGUAUUGUGUUUCACCUUAAUUAUCUCCAUGAGAACUUCACACAUGUAUUAAAAAAACCCAACAUGACACAUUCGUAAGGUAGUUACUAUCUGUUGCAGAAUUUCAUGUAUUAUAUUUGUGCCCUAAGUUAGCCAUUAUUAUCCCAAUUUUAUAGUUAAGGGAAUGGAAACUCAAAAAACAUAUGGCUUGCUUACAGAGCUACACAACUUGUGGGAGAGGAGCUGGGAUUGGGACUCCAAUUUUGGGACUCUGUGUUCAUCAUGUUUUUUGGUCCCCCAUGUUCCCCUUCUUUAAAUGACUGAGUACAUGUCAUUUCAAAAACUUGUGGCCUUGGGCAAUGGCAGGCAGAAUAGGAAGUAAAUAUGUCUCAUUUUCCCUUUGUGAUUUCUCUAUGGUUCCAUAAAGAAAUAAACACAUUUAAAAGGUUAGCCAUUUGCCUUUGCCUGAGUAAAGUAUAAAGUUUUUUAAAAAAGCAUUUCCAGUUAUUUUGUGUAUUAAUCUAAUGAUGG